GGUUCCUGUAAAGUGGUACUUCGACAUCUUCGACAUUUAAAAGUUAAAUGCAAGGUUAAAUGUUGAAGGUUAAUUUGGCGCACGAAUCCCAAGUUAUAAAACGAGCCGUUGGCGAGAAGAGUUUGCGCUUACCGCAUUAUAUGCUACUGAAGAAAUAAAAUCCGACUUUGAAUUCGUGCUGAAGCAAAUUUUUCGAACGUUUGAUUACUUCCUUUGUGGCUGACUGAAGUAUGGGCUUUAAUUACCAUACCAGAGGAUGAAUUUGUUGAAGACCCAGAAUUUUUGUGGUACUGGGUGGUACUAGUAGUUGCAGUCACUAAAAUGGAUGGAUACACCAUAAUAGAUAAAUUCAGUUUUUUGUUCAUAGUGUCGAACAUGGGGGUCUCACGGAGGCACUGGAGGAUACACCAGAGAGGUACGCGAAAAAAGCAACUGAGAAUCCAACAAGUAAUUCGAGCGCAGAAUAUGGGGGGCCCUACCAUUUGAUUACAGGUGACUUCCGUUCUUAAUUUAUUGGACACAUUAAGGAUGUGUGCAAAAACGCAAGCUGGAGGGUUAAUGCGUGCAUUGCGUCUGAGGGACAACAUUUUGCGCAAUUUUUCUAACGUUUCAGUUGCUGAAACUGUCAGACGAAAUGUGUUUGAACAAUUUUCGACAAUUGAAGAGAAUUUGAUGACUAACGAAGCCGAAAUUAACGGAGUGGCUUGGAAUCUGAGGCUUAGUGUGUGAAAAAUUCAAAUUUAAAAUUCAAUUCUUUGCUCAUACCAUCGAACAAGAGGGUUACCAAGGAGGCACUGGAGGAUACACCCGAGAGGAACACGAAAAAAGCAACUCAGAAUUGAUUGAGUAAUUCGAGUACAUAAUUACAGGUGACUUUGAUUGUUGAUUCACCGGACACAUUGGGGAUGUGUACAAGAACGCAAGCUUUCACUUGGGAGAGUUCAAGCUUACACUGAGUCUCUAGGACAACAUUUUUGCAAACGCUACGGACUCUCUGAUAUUGGCACUGAUAAGUUUUUUUGCUUUUUACGCUGUUUACGUUCCAUAGUUUUUGUGUUAAAUGAAAGGAAAUAUCAUCUCAAGACAGCGGAGACCGUUAUAUAGGUUGUGGGGUUUUCCCGAGGCCAAUUUUUGAAUUGUGCGACUCCUGGAUUGUUCUUUACUUGGGAAUUUUGUCCCGAGUCUGGUCAUCAUUGAUAAGUUUGCGCUUAUAGCAUUUUAUGGUACUGGAGGAUUAAAAUCCGACUUUGGACUUGGGACAUAUUUUGUCCAACGUUUGGUUAAUUACCAUACUAGAGGAUGAAUUUGUUUGAGACCCAGAAUGGUUGUAUAGUACCGGAUAGUACUAGUGAUUGGUAUUUACACAGUCACUAAAAUGGAUAGUUACGUCGUGAUGUAUGUGAGUUUAAACAAGUAGGGUCCCAAGGACCCAAUUCUGCGGCACACUUGAAUGCAGUGGAACAGUAAAGCAAAAGAGACGAGAGAGCACUGGAGGAACUGGAGGUGAAGAGGAACAAGAAAAAAAGCAAUUCAGAAACGAACAAGUGAUUCGAGUAUGUGGAAAAUGAUCAAAAUCCAACGCAAAGUGUCCAAGUCCGGUUAUAACAGUGAAUAUACGAAAUACGUACAAUAAUAACGGGUUUAAAAGAAGUUUUUAUACCUUGUGGAGGAAGAAAUUCAUAAUAUGUAGUUCCAGUUCGGAAGAGGAGCCUUUUGGAAAGGGACCGUAUGUUAUUCCAGUGUCUGAUGUUUGUCAUAAAUGUUCAGUGAAAGAUGUGAAGAUGUUACAGAACUGUAAUUUUGCUAUUUUGUCUUUCAAGUAAUAAUGUAAAUAUUAUUCGUCAAGUUUUUUGCUAAUGUGUUAACUAACCAAGUUUCACAUUAACUGUAACAUGUAUCUGUAUAUUAAUGUAGUAACUUAAUAUUAUUUAUUGCAUUGCGUUUUUUUAUAAUAAAAUGUUAAUUUGUA